rnacentral:misc_RNA from 1 species
GAUGAAGAACGUAGCGAAAUGCGAUAAGUAAUGCGAAUUGCAGAAUUCCAGUGAGUCAUCGAAUCUUUGAACGCACAUUGCGCCCUUUGGUAUUCCGAAGGGCAUGCCUGUUCGAGCGUCAUUAUCACCCCUCAAGCCCUCGGCUUGGUGUUGGACGGUUUGGUGGAGGCCCCCUCGGGGGCUCCUGCCCCUCCCAAAGACAAUGACGGCGGCCUCGUUGGACCCCCGGUACACUGAGUUCUUCACGGGACACGUAUCGGACACAUGGGUUUACGGGACACGGUCUGCCUCCCCUCAGGGAGAAUCUUUCUAAGGUUAACCUCGGAUCAGGUAGGGAUACCCGCUGAACUUAAGCAUAUCAAUAAGCGGAGGA